AGAGUUUGAUCCUGGCUCAGGACGAACGCUGGCGGCGUGCCUAAUACAUGCAAGUCGAACGAGGUCCAACUGGUGGCAACACCGGUGAAGAUCUAGUGGCGAACGGGUGAGUACCACGUGAGCAACCUGCCCCGAAGACCGGGAUAACACCGGGAAACCGGUGCUAAUACCGGAUGCCCUCACGGGAUCGCAUGGUCCUG
rnacentral:rRNA from 1 species